AGCCCGCUCAGAAACUCAAAGGAAUUGACGGGGCCCGGCACAAGCGGUGGAGCAUGUGGUUAAUUCGAUGAUACGCGAGGAACCUUACCUGGGCUCAAAUGUAUGUUGACGUAUUCUGAAAGGGAUACUUCUUCGGACAAUAUACAAGGUGCUGCAUGGUUGUCGUCAGCUCGUGCCGUGAGGUGUCGGGUUAAGUCCCAUAACGAGCGCAACCCUAUCAUUAGUUGCCAUCAGGUCAAGCUGGGGACUCUAAUGAAACUGCCUACGCAAGUAGUGAGGAAGGUGGGGAUGACGUCAAAUCAGCACGGCCCUUACGUCCAGGGCUACACACGUGCUACAAUGGCCGGUACAAAGGGCAGCUACCUGGUGACAGGAUGCUAAUCUCAAAAGCCGGUCUCAGUUCGGAUCGGAGUCUGCAACCCGACUCCGUGAAGUUGGAAUCGCUAGUAAUCGUGGAUCAGCAUGCCACGGUGAAUACGUUCCCGGGCCUU
rnacentral:rRNA from 1 species